AAUUUCUUCCUGCUUCUGACUGCAAGCUCUUCAGGGACAGCCCAUUAAGCCCCCAGCCUCCAACUUCUCUUUCCUGACUCAUAUCUGGGGUACCUAACACGGUGCCAGGUUCUCCCUGGGACUAUAGCCCCGAGUGUGACAAGAGUGAUGAACAGGGGCUGGUUUGAAGAGCCAGUCCCUGCUCCGGGGGCCUGUCUCCGGUCUACUGUGAGGCAAUGCUGAGCGGCGGCCUAGGGGGGAUCUGGGAGGCCUCAAGCCAGACAGGAGAACAUUUUCACGAAGCACAAUCACAAAAGAACAGAAUGUCCUGAUGUUUGGAAGCUGACCACAGGGAAUCUCAGGAUGCCAAAAAUCUCCUUUGGGACAUUAGAUGUGCCUUGAAUUUCACCACUA